rnacentral:tRNA from 1 species
GCCCUAGUGGUGCAAUGGUUAAGUGCUUGGCUGCUAACCAAAAGGUCGGUGGUUUGAACCCACCCAGGGGCU